rnacentral:rRNA from 1 species
GACAGAGGAUGCAAGCGUUGUCCGGAAUCAUUGGGCGUAAAGAGCGUGUAGGCGGCCCCUUAAGUCCUGCGUGAAAUCCUGCGGCUCAACCGCAGACGGUCGUGGGAAACUGGAGGGCUAGAGUGCGGGAGAGGAGAGUGGAAUUCCCGGUGUAGCGGUGAAAUGCGCAGAUAUCGGGAAGAACACCCGUGGCGAAGGCGGCUCUCUGGAACGCAACUGACGCUGAGACGCGAAAGCGUGGGGAGCAAACAGG